CAGAGGCCUUGAUGUGGAAAAGAGUUUAGGAAAUUAGGAGGAUAGAGGGAGAUGAGUCUGCUGAAGCACAGUGAACAAGAGGAACUGUGUUGAGAAGAGCUUGGAAAGAUUGAGGGGUGACAGAUAUUUCAGGACCUGCAGGAAAUGAGACAUUCUGCUGUGUAGAGAAUGCAGAGGAGAGGCCAAGUGUGAAGGCUCUUCUGUGGCCAAGCUUAGCUAUGAGCUCACAUUUGCCAAUGUAGUGUUCCAGACAGUUUUAUCAUCCACAUUGCUGACCUGGAAGAUGCAUCAUUGUCUAUGAUAUCUGCAAUGGAAAUGAUCACUAGGCAAUUUCAGCCUUGCAAAUCUAACUGUGGCGUGUGGAAAGAAGAGGAACCAGAAAAGAAUGUUUGUGAAGUUCUGGCUUGAAUCUCGUGCCGGGAGUGUGAAGAAGGUCCUUGCUUCCCCUUCACCUUCUGCCAUGAUUCUAAGUUUCCUGACGCCUCCCAGCCGUGCUUCCUGUUAAGCCUGUGAAACUAGCCACAGAGGUGGAGCUGCCCAAGGCUUUGGAAUCCCAUCCCUUUCAUCAGUGUGACCUGGAUGUGAGACAUGGAGUCAAAGGUGAUUAUUUUGGAGCUUUAAGAUUUAAUGACUGCCCUGCUGGGUUUUGGACUUGCAUGGGGCCUGUAGCCCCUUUGUUCUGGCUCAUUUCUCUCUCUGCAAUGGGAGCAUUUACCCAAUGCCUGUAUCCCCAUUGUAUCUUGAAAGUAACUAACUUGUUUUUGAUUUUACAGGCUCAUGUGGAAGGGACUUACCUUGUCUCAGAUGAGACUUUGGACUGUGGAUUUUGAGUUAAUGCUGGGAUGAGUUAAGACUUUGGGGGACUGUUGGGAAGGCAUGAUUGGUUUUGAAAUGUGAGAAGAACAUGAGAUUUGGGAGAGGCCAAGGGUGGAAUGAUAUGGUUCGGCUCUAUGUCCCCACCCAAAUCUCAUCUCAAAUUGUAAUCCUCACAUGUUGUGGGAGGGGCCUGGUGGGACGUGAUUGAAUCAUGGGGGUGGAUUUCCCCCUUGCUGUUCUCUUGAUAGUGAGUGAGUUCUUGCAAGAUCUGGUUGUCUGAAAGUGUGUGACAUGUCUCCCUUUGCUCUUUCUCCAUCCUGCCACCAUGUGAAGGAGGUCCUUACUUCCCCUUCACCUUCUGCCUUAAUGUUAAGUUUCCUGAGGCCUUCCAGCCAUGCUUUCUGUUAAGCCUGUGGGUCAAUUAAACCUCUCUUCAUAAAUUACCCAGUCUCAGGUAUUUCUUUAUAGCAGUGUGAAAAUGGGCUAAUACAGAGCAUAUCCUAGGCUAUAAAAUAA
rnacentral:lncRNA from 10 species